GGCACGGUGGCUUAGUGGUGAGAAUGUUUGCCGUGCACCUCCAGGGUCAGGAGUUCGAUUCCCAUCUCUGCCC